rnacentral:rRNA from 1 species
CAGCCGCCGCGGGAAUACGAAGGGUGCAAGCGUUAAUCGGAAUUACUGGGCGUAAAGCGUGCGUAGGCGGUGGGUUAAGUCUGCUGUGAAAUCCCCGGGCUCAACCUGGGAAUGGCAGUGGAUACUGGCUCGCUAGAGUGUGUCAGAGGAUGGUGGAAUUCCCGGUGUAGCGGUGAAAUGCGUAGAGAUCGGGAGGAACAUCAGUGGCGAAGGCGGCCAUCUGGGACAACACUGACGCUGAGGCACGAAAGCGUGGGGAGCAAACAGGAUUAGAUACCCCCGUAGUCCCUGUCUCUUAUAC